CACACACACACACAGCAUGCACAGAUAAACCAGGCUGGGAAAUAUAUAUAUGACUGCGGAUUCACACUAAAUCACUCAACCGUGAGAACAAACACUUGCAUCCAAUGGCUAUGAUGAACGAACGACUGAACGAACACUACAGAACCACUACAGUAAUGUGUGUAUUGAGACACUCACCACCCCACGUCCACUCACCCACCCAGCCUGCCCCCCACCCAUGUCCACUCUAAUACUAUUACUCUAGCAUGCGCUCUGGUGGAGCUUCAGCAGUGGAACUGUGGCCAGCCAUGCCAGACAUACACUCCUUGUGUGUAUCACGCCAUGUCUUAUGGGAGAGCCCGACCGACCGACCCCCUGACCUUUGACCCCCGGCCAGCACGGCUUGAUUCCUGGCAAUGCAAGAGCCUCUCCCUCGCUGGACUGCUCUCCUCCCCGCCGACCUCUGAAUGAAGACGUGGGGUCUCGGAAUAAACCGGCCGGAAAGGCUGGAGGUGACUCUUUUAACCAGGACACAGUAAUGUUAGCCCGUAGAACAAGGUGCUUUUACAGUGAAGGUCUAGGGGUUUAGGGAAUAACCAAUGGGAUGUCCUCCCACCUACACUAACACAGGCACACACAUACACACACACACACACACACACACACAUAUAUAUAUAUAUAUAUAUAAAACACUAUGUUUGUGGGAAUGCACAUGAAAGCAGCACUAAAUCAGAUCCUUUUGUUUACUUUCUUCUCCUCUCACUCUACUCACAUGUCCUCUGUGUGAUUCUUCCAGCAACAUGUCGGAGGUUUGCUUUGGGAUUCUCUACUUUCCUUUUCUCUCUUUUUUUUAAAGAAAUGUGAAGAAAAUAUGUUGAUGUAAAGAACUUUUAGGGAGUGGGGGAAAGGGGAAUCAGAUCUCAGAUGUGUGUUAGACAUUGGUGUCAUAGCAUGGUUAGACACAUUCGUUUUAACUUAAAAAUCAUUGCAGCAGAGUUGUGUAUUAUCUCCAUAGUGCACCACUGGACCAAUGGAUUCGUACUAGAGAGAUGUGUGUGUACCAUGUAGAGUUAGCCAGUCAUCUUAGUGAGUACACAGCUUCAGGAGAGUCCGAUCGUAGCCCUCACGCCACGAGCACAGUUCCCUCUGCCCUCAUCCACAUACUACAGUCAAAAGGGAACUCGUUUAGAGCAUUUAUCAAUGUUUUAUUAUCGAGCCGCAUGCACUGGCCUUUCGUUUUUAUCAUGACAUCGAGACACUCGUUUAGCAGCUCCUUCUAGUGUGAAGACAUUUGCAUCUGAGGAGAGGAGACGAGGAAGAGAGACCCCCCCCCCCACCGUCGUGCAGUGCGUCUGAGGCCUCGUCCCAUUGGCAUCCGUAUUAAACUCCCAUCCAACUGCCAGAAGUAUCGGCUCCCGCAGACAAAACUGCGGGGAAUCGUUGCAUUAUCUCAGUGUGAGUCAAUCAAUACAAGAUCCAGAUGGGCUUAUGUGCAGCAUCAGCACCACAAGCGUGUGCUUUAUGACUGAAUGAGAACAGCAAAGAGGGGGGGGGUUACCACAGAGGAACAGCUGAAGCUCUUGAGGCUCAUUUAGCUGCUAAAAUCCCGGGUUGAAUCGACACUACCUUUACCCUCAUAGUCUGUAGACUAGCCUGGGGGUCAGUGUGUGGGCUAUUCCGUUAGCAAGGCUGAAGUCAUGGAGUGCCAUAGCUCUCUCUUUCUCUUUCUCUCUCUCUCUCCUCUGAUGUUGUAAAUGUUUGACCCGGGAGAAAAGUUGUUGUUUUGUUUUGUUUCACUUGAAAACAAACAAACAAACCAACAUUGGAAGCAGCUGCUGCCUCCUCUCACCUGUGCAGCGGUCAAUAUGGAGGGCUUCUCUCAGUCUGUGUUCUGUACAUAUUUAGCUUUUAUUUCUUCUUGUUCUUCUCACCGCGCUCCUCGCGGUUCUCUGCCAGUUUUGUGAAUGUUUUAUUGUGCCGUUGUAAUUUAUGAGAAAAUAAUGCUUCUCUUUUAGCUUCUCGUUUUGUUGUUUUGUUUGUUUGGUUGGUUUGUUGUUGUUUUUUUUUUUUUUUUUUUUUUUUUUUUCUUGGUUUGGUGCCAAGUGUGAGUGGAUUGCGUAAAGUGAAUGUGUGUGUGUGUGUGUGUGUGUGUGUUUGCAGGGCUGUCUGUUUCGGAUGCUCCUUUCCCUGAGCACAUGCAUCAUUCCUCACACAUCUUUCUAAAACUAAAGUGGGGUAUGCCCCCCCUUCCCCCCUUCCCUAUUGCGUCUACUUGUCCGUGUCUGUGUGUCUCACAGUGCUAAUUGCCUUCUCAGUAGAACGGUGUUGAACUCACUCCUGAUCUCUCACCCCACUGCCCCCCCCCCCCCUCCAUUAGUCUGUGGUCCUCUGUGUGUUAGUAUCAUAAUAACCCCUAUGCUGAAAAGUCUCUCCCCAAUGCAUUAGUCUGUGGUCCUCUGCGUGCAUGUUAGUAUCAUAAUAACCUCUAUGCUGAAGAGCCCCCCCAUGCUGCAUUAGUCUGUGGUCCUCUGUGUGUUAGUAUCAUAAUAACCGACUCUGUGUGCGUGUGUGGUGGAGUGACUGAGAGAGCUCUUCUUGACCUGUAAUGAAGCAAUAUCAGCCCAUAAGAAGUCAGGUUAGUAUACUGAAGUAAUAAUGGCAUGGUCUCCUGAAGCAUAUGUCCAUCGUGCCAGGUUAGUUUACUGAAGUAAUAAUGGCAUGGUCCUGAAGCAUAUGUCCAUCGUAGUGAUCUAGUGUACUCAUUCGUGGGCCACUGAUCAGUGUCAACAUCGUGCAUCUUGGUGUAGAGUUCCUUAAGACUCGUCUUUCAUCUUUUCUCUUUAUUCCCUCCUCUCUCUCUCUCUCUCUCUCUCUCUCUCUCUCUCUCUCAGAAGAGUGUUGUCACUGCACAGACACUAACGCUUUGCUCCGUUUGCCAGGUUGCAUGCUGGGACGGCUCUGGCCUAAUCAAGCAUCUCUGUCCCCGGUGCCAAAAGACUUGUGUCUGUAUUUGAAACGCCUCACUUUGAGAACACUGCAGAAGUCUUCUAUCUAUCUCUCUUUUUCUCUCUCUCUUUCUCUCUCGCCUUGCUCUCUGUCUCUCUCUUUCCUUCUGACGGCUGCAAACUCUGCGGCUGGUGAGUCCUAACCUCUCCCCUAGUAGGUAGGUUGGGGAGGCAGUCAGGGACGCCACUGACAGGACAAAUAGUCAAACCCCCCUGAUAAGAAAAGAUGCCGAGAGUAUAAGUUUUGUGUCAGGAAACAUGACGUUAGAUUUGCGUUUUUGCAUGUCCAUUCCGAGCUGUUAAGACCAACCCAACACUCUGCUUCUGCCACCUGUAUAUAGGUGUACAAAGUCAUGAACACGUAGCAUCAGUGUUUGUUUUGUUUUUGUUAACUUUUUUUUAAGUGUUUUUGUUACCUCAGUUGGAUUUUUUUUUUUUUUUUUUUUUUUUUUGUUAAUUUGUUUUUGUUCCAGCUUGUCAAGUAUCCAUUUUGUAUAUCCGAAAUCAACAUCACCAGACAAGUUAUUUAUGAACAUAUUAUCCAGAACAGUGAGGAUAUGUGAUAUCCCUUACUGUUUCUUUUCUAUGGUAUUUAGUCCAUCCAGGCUGCCAUCAAAGGCAGUUAUUAUUAUUGCUGUUGUGUUCUAAUUAUGAUUGUUAUUAUUAUAUUAAGUUUGUGUCCGAUGUACAGUCCCUAAUACAGAGUCUUAUACUGUCAUGUGUCUCCUUUCAAUAAAGAAAAAGAAUUCUUAAUAUAA